GAUGAACGCUGGCGGCGUGCCUAAUACAUGCAAGUCGAGCGAACAGACGAGGAGCUUGCUCCUCUGACGUUAGCGGCGGACGGGUGAGUAACACGUGGAUAACCUACCUAUAAGACUGGGAUAACUUCGGGAAACCGGAGCUAAUACCGGAUAAUAUAUUGAACCGCAUGGUUCAAUAGUGAAAGACGGUUUUGCUGACACUUAUAGAUGGAUCCGCGCCGCAUUAGCUAGUUGGUAAGGUAACGGCUUACCAAGGCAACGAUGCGUAGCCGACCUGAGAGGAUGAUCGGCCACACUGGAACUGAGACACGGUCCAGACUCCUACGGGAGGCAGCAGUAGGGAAUCUUCCGCAAUGGGCGAAAGCCUGACGGAGCAACGCCGCGUGAGUGAUGAAGGUCUUCGGAUCGUAAAACUCUGUUAUUAGGGAAGAACAAAUGUGUAAGUAACUAUGCACGUCUUGACGGUACCUAAUCAGAAAGCCACGGCUAACUACGUG
rnacentral:rRNA from 1 species